UAAGUUGAUAGUGAAAUCGUGUGGCUCAACCACAUAUCCAUUAUCAAACUGCCAAGCUAGAGGACAAGAGAGGUCACUGGAAUUCCUAGUGUAGGAGUGAAAUCCGUAGAUAUUAGGAGGAACACCGAUGGCGUAGGCAGGUGACUGGCUUGUUCCUGACACUAAGGCACGAAAGCGUGGUAGCAAACGGGAUUAGAUACCCCGGUAGUCCACGCCGUAAACGAUGGAUGCUA
rnacentral:rRNA from 1 species